rnacentral:tRNA from 1 species
GGGGGAAAACCCCACCGGGAAAAAAAAAGGACUAAAAACCCCCGGGUCCCCGUUUCAAAUAAAA